UACACAUUACUUGUCCUCUCUCGCUUUAUGAAACUUUGCAAAUAUGUCUUCUCUCACCCUUGUCUCGUUUCUUGAUGCCUCAAGUUCUGACAAGCCAAACUGCGAAUCCAAUGAAAACAUGAGGAUCCUUUUCUAGCACAAGUAGAAAGGCGAGAAGCGUUCACGAUGAUUUAAAACUACAAUCCUAGUAAAUUGGAAUUGAAGAAUAAAUAUACAUACAGAUAACAACAAAGCACAAUUAAUAUUUGCAAUCUGAAAGGUAGGGUGUAAAGGUACAUUAGCUCAGGCAUUGUCAACAUAUCGGGAAAGUGAACUAUUCAAAGCGAAAAAAAAGGAAUGAGGUGAGUUUCUUGAAUAGAAUUUCAAGCAGCCUAGGGAAGAUGCAAAUGAAGCUACAAUGAUGGAAAAAACACCAGUAAACCUGAAGAAGAACGAAGGGAUGCUCAUAGCAAAUCAAUUAUCAUCUCCAAUAACUACAUCUUUGGUCGCAUAGUGAUGUGCCAUAAAUUAUUUUACAGUAUUUGAAGGUCCAAACUAAAGAAAGAAGCAAAAAACAAUGAAAACCGAACGGAAUACGAAGUUUCCAAGAAGCAACCCAGUGCACAACAAAGGUACGACCAUGCCUCUUACCUCGGCCCGUCUUUUGAAAGAAUCAGAACAACUUGGUGGGCAAGAAAGAAAGAUGGCAGGCAUGACCGUGCAUAGGCAUGCACGAUCAUGCCCCCACAAAAGACAAAACAUAACAAGACAAAAGCUCGUGACCAAAGUACACUUGCUUCCAUCAUUGUCGGGGUAACUCACCAUGCACGGUCGUGCAUGGUCUCGCACUCCCAUGUCCAAGACCCUCGGGAGACAGAAAUGAAAAAUUCUCAAUCUUCUAACAGAUUCAAGGACAAGCACGACCUUGCGCUCCUUGGCACGCCCGUGCUCCCCUGCCUUACAUCCCCAAGGCUGAUAAAUUUGUGCCUCCAUUGUUCUUUCACCAUUGGCUCUAGUCCCUUGGAGAAAGUGUGGAUGAUCCAUGGAGCUUGACUAAUCAAUAGCCAAGUAUGCCAUGACCAUGAUGCUUCCUAAGCCCCCUUUUCUUGUUAGUGAGAGGUUGAUCCUUAUGGAAGGUCUUCAUGCCGUUAAAACAUCUCUAAAGUUAAGAUCCUACAUCCCAAUUUUAUCAUCCAUGUUAAGAAUAAGGAAUCGUUAGAUUAGUUCACUAAACAUAUGUAAUAAAUGAGAGUUGAGAGACACUUUGUUGCACACGUACUUGCACUUGAGGUAGAGCUUGACAAUCAUGAAGUGUGGUAAUCGCCACUAGUAAAAGUGUUUCAUAUGGUUGUAAUCUCUAUGCCUUCCCAAACUCUUGGAUUAGUUAAUAUUAUUAAUAUAAUAUUUUUUUUCUUA